CAGAGCCAGGCAGAUUUAUAUAAAAUUGCCCGUCAAGCUUGCUUGGAGAGGGCAAUUUUUAUAAAUCUAUAUGGCGAGCAGCCAUCAUGAGCAAAAGGAAAGCCUCGAAGAGGCGAUUUUGCGAAUGAGGCUCUGCAGUGUUACAAAAAACAUAGAAGCGUAAGCUUCGCGAUAUGCGAAUGUCUGAGAGAAUUGCGGGAGUGCGGAGCACGUAGCAAUUCGUGGUAUUA
rnacentral:sRNA from 1 species